CCUACGGGAGGCUGCAGUGGGGAAUAUUGCACAAUGGGGGAAACCCUGAUGCAGCGACGCCGCGUGAGUGAGGAAGUAUUUCUGUAUGUAAAGCUCUAUCAGCAGGGGAGAAAAUGACGGUACCUGACUAAGAAUCCCCGGCUAACUACGUGCCAGCAGCCGCGGUAAUACGUAGGGGGCAAGCGUUAUCCGGAUUUACUGGGUGUAAAGGGAGCGUAGACGGCUAAUCAAGUCAGAAGUGAAAGCCCAGGGCUCAACCUUGGGAGUGCUUUUGAAACUGAGUAGCUAGAGUGUAGGAGAGGUAGGCGGAAUGCGUAGUGUAGCGGUGAAAUGCGUAGAUAUUAGGAGGAACACCAGUGGCGAAGGCGGCUUACUGGACUGUAACUGACGUUGAGGCUCGAAAGCGUGGGGAGCAAACAGGAUUAGAUACCCCAGUAGUC
rnacentral:rRNA from 1 species